UACAUGGGGUGCAAACGUUGCUCGGAAUUAUUGGGCGUAAAGCGCACGUAGGCGGUUUGUUAAGUCGGAUGUGAAAUCCCUCGGCUCAACUGAGGAAGUGCAUCCGAAACUGGCAGGCUUGAGUACUAAAGAGGGUCGCGGAAUUCCCGGUGUAGAGGUGAAAUUCGUAGAUAUCGGGAGGAACACCAGUGGCGAAGGCGGCUCGCUGGGCCGGCCCUGACGCUGAGACGCGAAGGCGUGGGGAGCGAAGCGGG
rnacentral:rRNA from 1 species